GAAACUGAUCUCUCCGUGAAGAAGCGGGGAUACUCCUAUAAGACGAAAAGACCCCAUGGAGCUUCAAACCCAACUACACCCUUAACUACCACAACCGCACAACCUCUUAGGGCCCUGUAUAGUUGGUUUUAGGUUGGGGCGACCACGGAGUACAACCAAACCUCCGCAAUGGACGGGACCACUCCCUUAUCUAAGAGCCACACCUCUAAGAAUUAAAACACUAACAUAAAAUGAUCCAUGAUCUGAUCAAUGAACCAAGUUACCCUGGGGAUAACAGCGCAAUCCAUUUCAAGAGCCCUUAUCGACAAGUGGGUUUACGACCUCGAUGUUGGAUCAGGGUAUCCUAGUGGUGCAGCAGCUACUAAUGGUUCGUUUGUUCAACGAUUAAAACCCU
rnacentral:rRNA from 1 species